CCUACGGGAGGCAGCAGUGAGGAAUAUUGGUCAAUGGCCGUAAGGCUGAACCAGCCAAGUCGCGUGAAGGAAGAAGGAUCUAUGGUUUGUAAACUUCUUUUAUAGGGGAAUAAAGGUAUCCACGUGUGGAUACUUGCAUGUACCCUAUGAAUAAGCAUCGGCUAACUCCGUGCCAGCAGCCGCGGUAAUACGGAGGAUGCGAGCGUUAUCCGGAUUUAUCGGGUUUAAAGGGUGCGUAGGUUGUUUUUUAAGUCAGCGGUGAAAGUUUGUGGCUCAACCAUAAAAUUGCCGUUGAAACUGGAAGACUUGAGUGUGUUUGAGGUAGGCGGAAUGCGUGGUGUAGCGGUGAAAUGCAUAGAUAUCACGCAGAACUCCGAUUGCGAAGGCAGCUUACUGAGCCAUAACUGACACUGAAGCACGAAAGCGUGGGGAUCAAACAGGAUUAGAUACCCGAGUAGUC
rnacentral:rRNA from 1 species